AACGAACGCUGGCGGCAGGCCUAACACAUGCAAGUCGAACGCUCCGCAAGGGGGAGUGGCGCACGGGUGAGUAACACGUGGGAACCUACCUUCUGGUACGGAACAACCAAGGGAAACUUUGGCUAAGACCGUAUACGACCUCCGGGUGAAAGAUUGAUCGCCGGAAGAGGGGCCCGCGUCCGAUUAGGUAGUUGGUGAGGUAACGGCUCACCAAGCCUUCGAUCGGUAGCUGGUCUGAGAGGAUGACCAGCCACACUGGACUGAGACACGGCCCAGACUCCUACGGGAGGCAGCAGUGGGAAUAUUGGACAAUGGGCGCAAGCCUGAUCCAGCCAUGCCGCGUGAGUGAUGAAGGCC
rnacentral:rRNA from 1 species